AAUGGGGGCAACCCUGAUCCAGCCAUUCCGCGUGAGUGAAGAAGGCCUUCGGGUUGUAAAGCUCUUUCGGCCGGGAAGAAAUCGCAUCUCCUAAUACGGGGUGUGGAUGACGGUACCGGAAGAAGAAGCACCGGCUAACUACGUGCCAGCAGCCGCGGUAAUACGUAGGGUGCGAGCGUUAAUCGGAAUUACUGGGCGUAAAGCGUGCGCAGGCGGCUCACUAAGACAGAUGUGAAAUCCCCGGGCUUAACCUGGGAACUGCGUUUGUGACUGGUGGGCUUGAGUGCGGCAGAGGGGGGUGGAAUUCCGCGUGUAGCAGUGAAAUGCGUAGAUAUGCGGAGGAACACCGAUGGCGAAGGCAAUCCCCUGGGCCUGCACUGACGCUCAUGCACGAAAGCGUGGGGAGCAAA
rnacentral:rRNA from 1 species